rnacentral:rRNA from 1 species
CAGUAGCCACGGUAAUACGUAGGGUGCAAGCGUUAAUCGGAAUUACUGGGCGUAAAGCGUGCGCAGGCGGUUAUAUAAGUCAGAUGUGAAAUCCCCGGGCUCAACCUGGGAACUGCAUUUGAGACUGUAUGGCUAGAGUGUGUCAGAGGGGGGUAGAAUUCCACGUGUAGCAGUGAAAUGCGUAGACAUGUGGAGGAAUACCGAUGGCGAAGGCAGCCCCCUGGGAUAACACUGACGCUCAUGCACGAAAGCGUGGGGAGCAAACAGGAUUAGAUACCCCGGUAGUCCCUGUCUCUUAUAA